rnacentral:rRNA from 1 species
AGUCACUGACAUUAGAUACCCCCGUAGUCCAGGGUGUAAACGCUGCGGGCUUGGUGUUGGGGGUCCUUUGAGGGCGCCCAGUGCCGGAGAGAAGUUGUUAAGCCUGCUGCUUGGGGAGUACGUCCGCAAGGAUGAAACUUAAAGGAAUUGGCGGGGGAGCACCGCAACGGGAGGAGCGUGCGGUUCAAUUGGAUUCAACGCCGGACAACUCACCAGGAGCGACGGUUACAUGAAGGCCAGGCUGAUGACCUUGCCUGAUUUUCCG